AUUGAACGCUAGCGGCAUGCUUUACACAUGCAAGUCGAACGGUAACAGGGUGCUUGCACCGCUGACGAGUGGCGAACGGGUGAGUAAUGCGUCGGAACGUGCCGAGUAGUGGGGGAUAACGCAGCGAAAGUUGUGCUAAUACCGCAUACGUACUGAGGUAGAAAGUGGGGGACCUUCGGGCCUCACGCUAUUCGAGCGGCCGACGUCUGAUUAGCUAGUAGGUGAGGUAAAGGCUCACCUAGGCGACGAUCAGUAGCGGGUCUGAGAGGAUGAUACGCCACACGGGGACUGCGACACGGCCCAGACUCCUACGGGAGGCAGCAGUGGGGAAUUUUGGACAAUGGGCGAAAGCCUGAUCCAGCCAUGCCGCGUGUCUGAAGAAGGCCUUCGGGUUGUAAAGGACUUUUGUCGGAGAGGAAAUCCCCAGCGUUAAUACCGCUGGGGGAUGACAGUACCUGAAGAAUAAGCACCGGCUAACUACGUGCCAGCCGCCGCGGUAA
rnacentral:rRNA from 1 species